rnacentral:rRNA from 1 species
CAGAUUGAACGCUGGCGGCAGGCCUAACACAUGCAAGUCGAGCGGCAGCACGGGUACUUGUACCUGGUGGCGAGCGGCGGACGGGUGAGUAAUGCCUAGGAAUCUGCCUGGUGGUGGGGGAUAACGUUCGGAGACGGACGCUAAUACCGCAUACGUCCUACGGGAGAAAGCGGGGGACCUUCGGGCCUCGCGCCAUUAGAUGAGCCUAGGUCGGAUUAGCUAGUUGGUGAGGUAAUGGCUCACCAAGGCGACGAUCCGUAACUGGUCUGAGAGGGAUGAUCAGUCACACUGGAACUGAGACACGGUCCAGACUCCGUACGGGAGCAGCAGUGGGGAAUAGUUGGACAAGUGGGCGAAAGCC